rnacentral:lncRNA from 1 species
GAAGUCUAGUCUGCUGAGGAUUAUUCUAUUUCGCAGUCUAAUGGUGCACUGCUGGUGGCAUGAAAGCAAUCAAAUGGUAAAUUACUAACCCUUAUAACCUCUUGUGCCGCACGACUGCUAGUUCUUCAACUAAAAAAAUACAUUCUCCUGGCAUGCUUUCUGGAUGUGGUAUUACAUGAUAUCAGUCCCCAAAAAAUAUAAAUUUCUUCUAUUGUCAGUUCAAUUUUCUCUAGUAUGUAUGUUCUGAAGAUGAUGAGAGAAUGGUCUGGUCGAAAGUAGUAGGUUAAUUAGUUAGUUGUUGUACUGCAAUAGUGGUAUGAAGAUGAUGCACUGCAGGGGUGAUCUGAAGCCGUGAACCGAAUGCCUUUUGCAGUAGUAGAGACGUACUUGAUAUAUAUUCGCCCAAGCCACAUCUUUGCUUACUUGAUCUGAUGAGCAGCCAUAUUUUGCUCAAGAUAACUAGAAGCAAAAACAGUCAACAGUGGCAUAGUACAGUAGUGCCGCCUGACAUCUCCAUCAGCAUCUCUCUAUGUCAUCUCUGUUAAACUCGCCUUUCCUUGUAACUCUCUAGACUCCAGUAGUACUUGUAAGUAGUGGUAUUGUAUGAAUCAAUUAGAGCCGAGUGAGGCUGCUCCGUCCCCCUAUGCCUUCUAUGCCACUAUUCCUUGCCGUCGAAUCUUUUUCCUGCUCUUCACGGGUCAAGAUCACACCUUUUUGUUAGAGUCGAGUGAAAGUCUUUCGGUUUGUGUAGAGCUUGUCAGUUCAACAAUCAGUCCAGAGGAGGAGGUGUAGCCAUUCCACCUGAUCUCUGGCAUCUUAUUCGACCUCCAAAAAUUUCAUUCUUGAGUUCUAUUCUUCGUCAUAGGUUUACUACUAUUACCUCAGUGCAAAAGUGCCAGAAAGUUCAGUUCAGACUAUACUUAAUGUCCAUAUUGUAGAUAAUAUUUGCAUUGUCUUAUACUCCCUCCGUUCCAAAAUAGAUGACCCAACUUUGUACUAAAGUUAGUACAAAGUUAAGUCAUCUAUUUUAGAACGGAGGGAGUAUUUAUUAGUGUGGUUUACAUGCGUGGUAUCUGAUCCAUCAGUGCCAAGUGCACUAUGCCUUACGCUCUAGUAUUUUACCCACUUGAAUGAUUGUCCCUAGUGUCCUUCUAUGACCACGAGACUAUCACAUUAUAUAUUGCACUGUGUGCACAUUCACUGCAUUUUCUCUUUUCAACAUUGUGCUCCUUGCAUUUUAAUUGGUACACCAUUUUCCAUAUCUAGGAUGAUACAACAACUUAGUGGUUAUGCAUACACCCACUGUCAGCAAACUUGUGAAUCAACCACCCGGGCCAUACAUUGAAUUAAUGUUUAUUUGUAAUAAUUAGUUUAUGUCCAUUCAGAUAAGCAUGAAAAUGCAUCACCCCCUGAGUAAACUGAAGAGUCCAUUGAGUGCUUUUUAAUUCUGGCAAAGAUGAUGGCCUUGAAAUUGUUUGACCAUAUUUAGGAUCUUCCCUCCAUUCUGCCCCCCCUCUUCAUAUCAGCAAGCAUCUCCUCUUGCAGCAGGCAUCUCCUUGCCCACCACAUUGGCUGGGGCAUGCCUUUUCUUAACUUCGUUUGAUUUUGUCAUGAUUUAUGUAAAGGCCAUUAGUGGUACUAGUACUUAUGUUACAACUGGCCAUUGACAAAAAAAGCUACAAAAAAUCAUUUUUUUUCUUAUUGCAAAAAAAUCUGAAUUUGCUCAGUUCAACAUGUAUUGUAUCAUCAAACAACUCAUAUGCAUUUUUAUAUGCAUCAACCUAUACAGUUUGGUGUGUCAGUUUAGCUAAGAUCAACCUAUAUGCAAAAUUUUCAGUAAAUGUUCAGCAGGAUCUCUAUGCUAUUGGUUUCUUCAGUUUACUUGCAAGUUCUAGUAAAAAAAGUUGCGUACACAUCCUAGCCACUGCUCACCUCCGCACCUACUACUGCAUACAUGGAACUAUGUGGGAAGAUGCAAAAGAGAUCAUUGUCCAUCGUCAAAGUUGCACAAUACAGUAUAAAUGCAUGUAUGUAUGUAACGGAGCUAGCUAGAUGUACUCUAGUUCGUUAGUUCAAUUCAGUUCAAGUUUUGUGCUAGCGUGCUAAUGAAAAUUGAAAAUUAGCAUGCCCUUGGUAGUAACGAGAAUGUAGAAAUGGAAUGCGGCUUUGACGUGUCCAUGCGUGACCAUCACAGAGCAGGAGGGAUACCGGGAGCGAUGUGUCAGGAGCUCUACUAGAGUUGUCACCGGCGACAUGGUUUCAGUUCUAUUUGGCGCAAGUCGGCAGGUUCCUGAUGUUGUGUGUGUCCGUUCUACUUGCACGAGGACGUCAGGUCGCACAAGUGGGCAGGUCCCCAAUGGUGAGAACUUGUUCUAUUCCUGUUGCUAUCAAGCUGUUUGUUGAUGUGCUUACAAGAAAUAAAAUAUCCUUUUUGAUGUUUCAUUGUUGCCAAAUAAAAGCUGUUGUUUGAUUGACACCACCGUCUUGCAUCAAGUGACACCAAACAUGUCUACUUGAAUGUUCACAAGAAAUGAUCACACACCAAAGUGACACCCUCGGUUUAAUGCAUGUUACUCAGCAUCCUCCCAAUCCGCUCAAUCAACUUCUUAUUCCACCUCCAAAAAAAAAAUUCUUUUUGAGCUCUAUUCUUUGUCACAAGUUCACCGCUAUUACCUCAGUUCAAAAAUGCCAAAGAGUUUAGUUCAGACUAUAGUAAAUGUCCAUAUUGUAGAUAAUAUUUGCAUUGUCUUAAAUUUCUAGAAACAAGCUUCAGUACAAGAAAAAUGGGUCAGUCAGUUCAUCCAUAUCCAAACCCCCGUCGACGUGCGACGGCAGGAAACAUUUCCAGGUUGUUUUCUUUCUCUCUUUGCUUAGCACAAAUUGCACAAAUUCCUAGUAGAAAUAUAACUUGUUACAUGGGUAGGUUCAUGAAAUAUUAUAGUAGUAGUUCGGUGAAAGGAUUCACAUCAGUUCAAACAUUUUUGAAUGUUCAGUAAAAUUUCAAAUAGACUAAAGGCUUUCACCUCAUUCGAAAAGGCUAAAGCAACAGUACAAUGAUAGAAAAAAAUUAGUUCAAAAAAAUGAUGGAGGUUAGUCGGAAUGGCGGAAAAACAUCAGUUCAAUUUUUCUGUACCAUCACUUUUAUUGCUAAAUGUUUUAGUCACUUGUUUUCUUGAUGCCAUCAGGUAUUAUCUUAAAUACUUCGGUCUUCUGCCGCUGGUACUAGUGUGGAUGGGUAGCAAGUUCAACUACCAAUCAACAUGAAGUUCGGCAUGUUGUAUGAUUCCCACACAUUCCUAGAAGUUGUUCUAGGAUUGGAAAGCUAGCAGCAGCAUACUCCUGUUUUCACUGUUUAAGUUCACCUGAAUUUCUAAUUAAAUUCUGUUCAUAGGAGUGCUUGUAAUCAAUUAGGAGUAGUUUGGUUUUACUUAUGUUCCAUGAAUUUCUAGUACCCUAAUAGAUUUGGUAGUGACAUCACAUGAGCUCCCUCUCCACCACUCCAGGAUAUGCAGCGCUGUCCUAGUCCAGCCCCAUGGCAUACAUUAACUUAGUUGUUAUAGAAAAAACAGUACAAAACUCCUUUUAUUUUUAUUUCUAAACUUAUGAUGUUACUGUAAAUUAACUUGGUUGUUCUUUUUACAUGAACUUGUGCAUUGCCUUGUCAGGUUGUGCGUCUACUACUCAAAAGUCUGCAAUAGUUCAACGAAAAAUGUCUACAUCAGUUUCAACUCAAAAAGACCAUAAGUUCAGAGGAAGAAAAGGACCACCAACACGUUUUGGCCCACGCAGGCCAUCAGAGGAAGAAAAAAAUGUUUCUCCAUUCAGUUCAGGUUGCUCUAGGAUUUGUCCAUGUUCUGGAGGGAAGUAAUUGACUUGUGGUUUGGAGUGGUACCUAUUGUAUAGCAAAUAUGUGUCACCAAAUAUAUGUUGAAUACUAUUGAUUGGAGGGAUGUGUACUGUUGUACCUUUCCUGCUGGAUCCUUCUUUUAUAGAAUAAAUAUUUGUUGUUUUUUACAGGAAUAAUUAUUUGUUGUAUGUGAUGUGAUCUGCAAACUAUGUAUCUAGAUUUGGUUCUUUUUAUUUUUCUAACUUAGUACAGAACAUUGAAUGAUCCAUUAUAUGUAGUUUCA